rnacentral:rRNA from 1 species
UACGUAGGGUGCGAGCGUUGCCCGGAUUUAUUGGGCGUAAAGGGCGCGUAGGCGGCUCGGCACGUCCGUUGUGAAAUCGCCCGGCUCAACUGGGCGGGGUCAGCGGAUACGGUCGAGCUUGAGCAAGCUAGGGGGCAAUGGAAUUCCCGGUGUAGUGGUGGAAUGCGUAGAUAUCGGGAGGAACACCAGUGGCGAAGGCGGUUGCCUGGAGCUUUGCUGACGCUGAUGCGCGAAAGCGUGGGGAGCGAGUCCGG